GACAUUAAUGGGACCAUUGGAAAAUAUGAAAAAAGGAAACUCUCUGAUACACCUUGUCUGAUUGUAGGUCAUAAGAACCUCAUUUCAGAAGAGGUCCUGCCCCAUACCCAGAGGAAGAGAUGCUGCACAGAGAAGUAAAGAAGUAUUGAACAGAGAGGCUUUGCUGGAUUUCCCAACUGAGUCUAUUAGUAUUAGAUCAUACCCUUUUUGUUUAAUCACAUUUCUUCUCAGUUGUCAAUCGUGCUUAUCUAAUGACUUUUGGCUUCCAUCAGAAGCCAAACAGGACAGGAUUCAAAGAACUUCUUGAGAGCUGAACGUGUGAAGGUUGCUAGAGGGUGAGGCCUUGGGGAGGGCGUAGAAGCUCCUCAGUGGACCCUUCUCACAUGCCCUGCCUUAUGUAUCUCUUCAUCUCUAUCUUUUGUAAUAUUCUUUGUAAUAAACUGGUAAAUGU